rnacentral:rRNA from 1 species
AGAGUUUGAUCCUGGCUCAGAACGAACGCUGGCGGCGUGCCUAACACAUGCAAGUCGCACGUGAAAGUCCUUCGGGGCGAGUAAAGUGCGCACGGGUGAGUAAUGCAUAGGAACGUACCUUUUGGUGGGGAAUAACCACGGGAAACCGUGGCUAAUACCGCAUAAUCUGGAAACAGUAAAGAUGGCCUCUAUUUAUAAGCUAUCGCCAACUGAGCGGCCUAUGUCCCAUUAGCUAGUUGGCAGGGUAAAAGCCUACCAAGGCAACGAUGGGUAGCUGGUCUGAGAGGACGAUCAGCCACACUGGAACUGAGACACGGUCCAGACUCCUACGGGAGGCAGCAGUGGGGAAUAUUGCACAAUGGGCGCAAGCCUGAUGCAGCAACGCCGCGUGAGUGAAGAAGGCCUUUGGGUCGUAAAGCUCUUUCGGCCGAGAAGAAGGGUGAUACGGUGAAUAAUCGUGUCAUUUGACUGUACCGGAAGAAGAAGCACCGGCUAACUACGUGCCAGCAGCCGCGGUAAUACGUAGGGUGCAAGCGUUGUUCGGAAUCACUGGGCGUAAAGGGCGCGUAGGCGGGUUUGCAAGUCGAUUGUGAAAUCCCAGGGCUUAACCCUGGAGCUGCAGUCGAAACUGCAAGUCUUGAAUGUCUGAGAGGGUGGGAGAAUUCCUGGUGUAGUAGUGAAAUACGUAGAUAUCAGGAGGAAUACCGGCGGCGAAGGCGCCUACCUGGCAGUACAUUGACGCUGAGGCGCGAAAGCGUGGGGAGCAAACAGGAUUAGAUACCCUGGUAGUCCACGCCUUAAACCAUGGAUACUAGGCGUUCGGAGUGUUAACCCUCUGAGUGCCGCAGCUUACGCAAUAAGUAUCCCGCCUGGGAAGUACGGUCGCAAGGCUAAAACUCAAAGGAAUUGACGGGGGCCCGCACAAGCGGUGGAGUAUGUGGUUCAAUUCGAAACCACGCGCAGAACCUUACCUGGGUUUGACAUCCCACGAUCGGUGCAGAGAUGUACUUUUCCCUUCGGGGACGUGGAGACAGGUGCUGCAUGGCUGUCGUCAGCUCGUGUUGUGAAAUGUUGGGUUAAGUCCCGCAACGAGCGCAACCCCUAUCCUUAGUUGCCAUCAUUAAGUUGGGCACUCUGGGGAGACUGCCGGUGUUAAACCGGAGGAAGGCGGGGAUGACGUCAAGUCCUCAUGGCCCUUACAUCCAGGGCUACACACGUACUACAAUGGCAGAGACAAACCGACGCAAAAUCGCGAGAUGGAGCAAAUCGGAAAAACACUGUCCCAGUCCGGAUUGGAGUCUGCAACUCGACUCCAUGAAGUUGGAAUCGCUAGUAAUCGUAGAUCAGCACGCUACGGUGAAUACGUUCCCGGGCCUUGUACACACCGCCCGUCACACCACGAAAGUGGUCAUCACCAGAAGCGCAUGAGCUAACUUCGGAAGCAGUGCACCAAGGUGAUGGCCGUGAUUGGGGUGAAGUCGUAACAAGGUA